CCGGGCGGCGGGCGGCGGGCGGGGGCGGAGCGCGGGGGGCGCGCAGGCCUCACCCCAACCUAGAGGCAGAGCGUCACCAGCUAUCUCCGGCAGGUCCGAGUCACCAAAACAUCCGCAGACCUUUUCCCUUGGGGCGACUCGUGGGGUCGGGGGCGGGGGCUGUUACGGGCAGUCGCCACCCUGCCUUGAGGGCCUCGGUGAAUCAGGUGCUAAUCACCGCGGCUCCCCUGACUGGUUUUUCUGAAUACCGCGGAUUUAGGCCCCGGUCGGGGGAUUCCUGUGGCUCUCCCCCACCCACGAGGACCGAGAAGGCACACGCGAUGAGGAAAGUUGUGUUUCAGCUCCAAGCCCAGAAAAGCCACAAAACCAGACCAGCUAUGCCAAUGUUGACAUCUGGAUGAGCUGCCUUGAUUGAUGACACACUGCCCUGGCACCUACCAACCAGUAGAGACCACAUCUCUAAAAGGACACACCUGGAAACCUGAUGAAUAUUCUAUUGAGAUCUUCCCUUGGGGCCUCCCCCUUGAACUCCCCACCAUUAAAAGCUUUUAGGAUGGAGGACCCAACGUGCUCUCCCUCUCUGGAGUGUGCCUGCACAUUUCCCAGCUCUCUUUUCUUUCCCCCAUGUGCAUCACUUUUACCUUUCUUUCUCCUAAGCUCCAGGCCCCCCCUUCUUUUGCCUCUGUAACUUGUUUCCUGAACCUGUUUCUUCUAGAGCUCACUUCUUCCACCUCUGUGACUUUCUAAACAAACUUUUACUUAUAGUUUGAGUCUUGGCUCUGAAUUCUUUUCUAGCCACAACUCAAGUUCUGAGGUUGCUGAAGUGCAGUCUGGGCUGACUCCACCCAUCAAGAUCUUGUGCUGUUUUUGCCACCAACACAAAGGCUGGCGGUAGAGGUAUGGUUCAGAUAGUAAUGUGAGUGGGGCCUUAGCAAGACCCUGAGAAAUUGACGGGAGGUUAAGGCCUUGAGUGCAUCAUCUCUCUGAGAAUCAUUUAUUAGGAAAAUUAACCUGUCAUUAGCACUGAAGAUGGAUGAGUUCGGGAACAGUGAGAUCUACUAGGAAGGUAUUUCCAUAGUCUAGAGAUGACGUACUUACAUCUAAAGAAGUCAGAUGGACAGAGGGGAUAGGGUAACAUGGAGCAGGGGGAGCAUUAGUCAAUGACUAAAUUGUAUCACAAAUAUUGCACACCUACUAUACACCAGAUACCAGCCUGGGCCUUCAAGAUACAGAAAUGAAAAGGCAUGGUUUUUAUUCACAAGGAAAUUGUAGUUCCAUAGGGAACAUGGGCAAGGGAUUAGUUAGAUGCCAUACUGUAAGCUAAGUGUUGGGGACAGGAGAAGGAAGUGGCUAAGGGAACUCAGAGAGAAGGCACUAUAUUAGUGUCUUAACAGGUAGCUGAAUCCAACAAGAUAGUUCAGGUAACUGCAAUGAGGAAUUAUCUCAUGCAAGGUGUGCCAGAAUUGAGAAAACACAAAGUAGCUGCUGAGGCAGCAGGAGAUGACUAUGGUGAGAAACUGUUGCCACCCCUAAGCCUCAAAUGGCUAGAGGAAGAAUAGGUUGAUUGGACCCCAGUAGAAGCUGAAGCCAUGGCAGUGGGCCACCUGACUGGAACUGUAGUUGGGGAGUAUUGUGGGCUGAAUUGUGUCCCCUGAAAUUCAUAUGUUGCAGUCCUAAUCCCCAGUACCUCUGAAUAUGACUGUGUUUGGACUUUGGGACUUUUAAAAAUAUAAUUAAGGUAAAAGGAGCUCAUUGGGGUGGGCCCAAACACAACUGGACUGGUGUCCUUGGGAGGAGAUUAGGACACAGAUACACACACAGAGGGAAGACCUUGUGAGGACAUGGGGGAACACCCAUCUAUAAUCCAAGGAAAGAGUCCUCAGAAGAACCAACCUUGCUAACACCCCAGUCUUGGAUUUUCAGCCUCCAGAGCUAUGAGAUGAUAGUUUUUGUUGCUUAAAGAAAUAAUAGAUGUUGUUGGCCCAGUGUAUGGUGCUUUGUUACAGCAGCAGCCCGGGCAAACUAACACAGAGAAAGAAAUCACCAUGGCCAGAAGCUUGAUUUGAUCAGGGAGGCCAUGGAAAGAGAUACUCUGGCCUUUCUCUCCAACUGCUCUCUCAUCUCACUUAAAAGCUAAACACAUCUGGAAGUCGGCCAAGGAGCCCAACUCAUUUGUUGUGUAUGUUUAGUCUUCCAGGGCACUUGUGGGACAAAGGGGGUAGGAAUAGAGCAAGCUGGGAGAGGGAGUAAAUAGAAAAUAAUCCUCAAAGACAUCUCAUCUAGUUUUGAGAAGUCAAGGUGGGUACAUGGAGGAGUGACUCUUGAACUGAGUCUGGAAUAACAAGUUAGUUAAUAGGUUGAUACUAUUCUCCCCUUUUUACAAAUAAGAA